CACACACCUGCAUUCUCUGUAUGGAGCUUGCAAGACUCGAGACUGGUCUCUCAGCAGUCUCUUUGCUGAAGAUAAAAUAGGUUUACACAUAUCCCCCAGCACGCUGCUGUGUUUAUUACUGUAACUGGGAAUUUUUCCCAUCAGCCUACAGCUGACCUGGCCAUACUUCCUGUUCCUCUGUCCCUGCUUCCUGUUCAGUGGCCUGAUGGGUAACCUCUAGAUAACACCACCUUCUUCCCCCUGGCUCAGCCAGCUGCUUCCACUGCAUGGAGGUGUUGUUCAUGGUCGAAUUAGACCCAGUAGAGUGGCAUUGGACAUCAUGUCUCGCUCCAUCCACCAAUGCCACGUUGCACCACAGACUGUCCAGGAGUUGGCGGAUGAUUUAGUCCAGGUCUGGGAGGAGAUCCCUCAGGAGACCAUCCGCCACCUCAUCAGGAGCAUGCCCAGGUGUUGUAGGGAGGUCAUACAGGCACGUGUAGGCCACACACACUACUGAGCCUCAUUUUGACUUGUUUUAAGGACAUUACAUCAAAGUUGGAUCAGCCUGUCGUGUGGCUUUCCACUUUAAUUUUGAGUGUGACUCCAAAUCCAGACCUCCAUGGGUUGCUAAAUUUGAUUUCCAUUGAUCAUUUUUGUGUGAUUUUGUUGUCAGCACAUCAACUAUGUAAUGAAAAAAGUAUUUAAUAAGAAUAUUUAAUUCAUUCAGA